rnacentral:lncRNA from 1 species
ACCUUUCUUUUCCCUCUGCCUUGCUGACAGAUGAAACAAAUCACCCUCUCUUCUCCAGCUCUCAACUGGGAUUUACACCAUCAACUCCCCUGGCUCUCAGGCCUUUGGACUGAAUUACACAACCAGCUUUCCUGGGACUCCAGCUUGCAGAUGGAAGAUAUUGGGACCUCUCAGCCUACUGACUAUAUAACUCUUGCCUAUAAUUUGCUGCUCAUACCUGCCAGAAGGAAUUCAUUCAUGAGUUGCUGACAGCCAAGGAGGUUUCUGCUUUGAGGGCUCACUCAGCACCUCACUUUAACACAAGGAGGAUCCACCCACCCAAAGUGAAAAAAGAAGCCACUAUGUAAGAGACAUAAGAAGAAAAACCAAACAAGGACAAAAUGGGAAGUUGAAAUAAAGGAUAAUGUUAUUUUGGACAAACAAAGUUUGAAGGAAGAAAAGAUUAAGGACAAGGAGGAGGAGAAGGAAGAGGAGAAGAAAGAGGAGAAGAAAGAGGAGAAGAAAAAGAGGAAGAAUGAUUAAGAGUUUAUGGAACUUUUCCAACUACAAUAGUUGCUGUGUUUUACCAGCUGCCUCUAGACUCCAGCAUAAGGCUCCCUGGAUGACAUUUGAAAGAAGAAAUACAAAUAACAUUUAGGUAGCUACACCUGAUGUGUGUUGGUUUGUUUGGGGACAUAUCACUAGAAGUUGGCCUCAGCUUGUAUGGCUGACAAAGAAGAGAAUUUUGUGGGGCAUUUUCUGUGCUGUUUGUAAAUGUGCAUUUAUGUGCUCGUAGCUUUUAUGAUAGUUUUUGAUUCAAGGUCAUUUAUUUAUACUGACAUCAAAAACAUUUUGAAAAAAAAAAUUUUUUGAGCUAUAGGGAUAUACCAAAAAAGUUACAGAUUACAUCACUAAAGUCCUUUCUGACUCCUAAGACAUAAGUGUGGUCCCUUUAGGCUUGGCUUUUAAUAUCUUUUGCAAAGGCAAAAAUUCCUUUUUUUAAAAGUCCUCUUAAAAAAAAUCCUUUAAAGCCACUUUCAUGCAAGUGAGCUUUUUCAAUAACAGAGGACUAUUUCCGGGGAGGAGCAAGACGGCGGAAGAGUAGGGUCUCCAAAUCACCUGUCUCCACCAAAUUACCUAGAAAACCUUCCAAUCAUCCUGAAAAUCUAUGAAUUCGGCCUGAGAAUUAAAGAGAGACCAGCUGGAAUGCUACAGUGAGAAGAGUUCGCGCUUCUAUCAAGGUAGAAGACGGGGAAAAAGAAGUAAAGAAACAAAGGCCUCCAAGGGGGAGGGGCCCCGCGAGGAGCCGGGCUGAGGCCGGGGCGAGUGUCCCCAGGACAGGAGAGCCCCGUCCCGGAGGAGCAGGAGCUGCACCAACCUUCCCGGGGGAAAGGGGCUCGCGGGGAGGUGGAGCAGGACCCAGGAGGGCGGGGAUGCCCUCGGGGUCCCGGGGACACUAACAGACACCUGCGCCCCGGGAGAGUGCGCCGAGCUCCCUAAGGGCUGCAGCGCGCACGGCGGGACCCGGAGCAGCUCGGGGGGCUCGGGGGCGGCUCCGCGGAGGGGGCUGC